UAACUUGUUUUCUGAUACCAAAGUUGAGCUAUUACUGAAGGUCCAUUGGUUAGCUGUCCUAGCACUCCUAGCAGUGUUAGUCCUAGAAAGCCUGUAGGUCGUAAAAACCAUUCAGAAUAUCAAGUCUCAGAGAUGGAACUUGAGUUCAAAUCAAAUAUGUAUUUGACCCCAGAAGUGUCAACAGUUGGCUGAGAAAUUGCAGCUAACUGAUCGUCAGCUCAAGGCCUGGUUUUCAAACCGUCGUACAAAGGUUAGAAAACUUUCCUUGGCUCAGGAAGGACCCAUAAAAUAUGAUGCGUUUCAAAUCUCCGACAACGCCCGUGGCUAAAAAUGGCCGAGCAUAUAAGAUGCAGGUCAGAAAUCAGUUGGGGCCAUUUGAAACUCCGGUUUGCCUUCAAAUUCAACAAAUACAUACAUAUAUAGUUUUACAUGA